UACGUAGGGUGCAAGCGUUGUCCGGAAUUAUUGGGCGUAAAGAGCUCGUAGGCGGUCUGUCGCGUCUGCUGUGAAAACCUAGGGCUUAACCCUGGGCCUGCAGUGGAUACGGGCAGACUAGAGGUAGGUAGGGGAGAAUGGAAUUCCCGGUGUAGCGGUGAAAUGCGCAGAUAUCGGGAGGAACACCGGUGGCGAAGGCGGUUCUCUGGGCCUUACCUGACGCUGAGGAGCGAAAGCGUGGGGAGCGAACAGG
rnacentral:rRNA from 1 species